ACGCCCCCUCCCCGCCCCGGUGACAGUCUCUGCGGAAAGUCGCGUUUGUGAUUUCUGGAGAGCACCGAGCGGGACUACGGAGGUGCUGCCUGGUCGUUGGGGCCAAGUGACGAAGAAACGCUUUCCUGGCGAACAGCCCCUCCCCACCCCCGCCGCCCUUAGACAGCCCGCACCUUCAGGGUCUGAAGAUGCUGAGCUCUGUGUGGAAUUUUCUAAAACGUCACAAAAAGAAAUGCAUCUUCCUGGGCACAGUGCUCGGAGGAGUAUAUAUCCUGGGAAAAUAUGGACAGAAGAAAAUCAGAGAAAUACAAGAAAGAGAGGCUGCAGAAUACAUUGCUCAAGCACGACGACAGUAUCAUUUUGAAAGUAACCAGAGGACUUGCAAUAUGACCGUGCUGUCCAUGCUUCCAACCCUGAGAGAGGCCUUAAUGCAGCAACUCAAUUCCGAGAGCCUCACGGCUCUGCUAAAAAACAGGCCUUCAAACAAGUUAGAAAUAUGGGAGGAUCUAAAGAUAAUAAGUUUCACAAGAAGUAUCGUAGCAGUGUACAGUACUUGUAUGCUGGUUGUUCUUUUGCGAGUCCAGUUAAACAUAAUUGGUGGAUAUAUUUACCUGGAUAAUGCAGCAGUUGGCAAAAAUGGCACUACAGUUCUUGCUCCCCCAGAUGUCCAACAGCAGUAUUUAUCAAGUAUUCAACACCUCCUUGGAGAUGGCCUGACAGAAUUGAUCACUGUCAUUAAACAAGCUGUGCAGAAGAUUUUAGGAAGUGUUUCUCUUAAACAUUCUUUGUCCCUCUUGGACUUGGAGCAAAAACUAAAAGAAAUCCGAGAUCUCGUGGAGCAGCAUAAACCUUCUUCUUGGGUUAAUAAAGACGGAUCCAAAUCUUUGUUAUGCCAUUAUAUGAUGCCAGAUGAAGAAACUCCAUUAGCAGUUCAGGCCUGUGGGCUUUCUCCUAGAGAUGUCACCACUAUUAAACUACUCAAUGAAACCAGAGACAUGUUGGAAAGUCCAGAUUUUAGUACAGUUUUGAAUACAUGUUUAAACCGAGGUUUUAGCAGACUGCUAGACAACAUGGCUGAGUUCUUUCGACCUACUGAACAGGAACUGCAGCGUAGCAACUCCAUGAGUAGUCUUUCCAGUGUCAGCCUGCCAUUAGCUAAGAUAAUUCCAAUAGUAAAUGGACAGAUCCAUUCAGUUUGCAGUGAAACACCUAGUCAUUUUGUUCAGGAUCUGUUGAUGAUGGAGCAAGUGAAAGACUUUGCUGCUAAUGUGUAUGAAGCUUUUAGUACUCCUCAGCAACUGGAGAAAUGAUUUCUUUUCCUUCAAGAAAAACUACAAUGGAAUUCAUUUACUUUUAAAAAUACACUGAAUGAAUCAACUAUAUAUAGGCAGUAUUAACCCAGGAUUUCAUCCAAGGAAUAUUUGAGACUGAACAGGUGUGGCCUUGUAAAAAAAAAAAAAAAAAAAAAAAAAAAAAAAAAGGAUCGUAUUCUGAUCAGCUGACAAUUUUCACCUGGAGUCACCUGCGUCUGUGGCGCCGUGGCAGUUGAAGAGAUGAUCAGGUAAAACCCACAUGCAUUUGAAGCUAACUGGCCUUAGAUAUUACAAAUGUGUCUUCAACUAGUACAAUAGGACCCCUCUUGUCUGGGACCAAUAGUUUGGUUAAUCCAAAGGUCACUUAAAUAAAGCAGGGUAUCUAUCACACACAAAAAAACUUAUUCUUAGAUAUUUUAACUUAAAAUAUAAAUAUUCUUUAGUUGCCACUUAUUUAAUCUAGGGACCAGGUCUUUUCUACCUUUUUCGUAUGGGUCUGCUUUGAGGCACUCCUAACUCCUUCUUAUGCAGAUCACGUGCACUACAUUCCAUUAUAUAAUUGUGAGCCACCGAUACAGAAUGCUUGUAGGUUUUUGCUAUAUUUUCCUCCAAUCUUUUAGAACUGUUUUGCCCACAAUUAGCCAAUAUCUUUAAAUUUUAAAACAGCAACACACUUUUUUUUUCUUUAAGAUUUUAUUUUUAAGUAGUCUCUACCCCCAACAUGGGGCUCACGCUCACAACCCUGAGAUCAGAAGUCUCAUGCUCCACCAACUGAGCCAGCCGGGCGCCCCUAAAAAAACAGCACUUUUAUCGAGUCUUUUCAAAGUUCAGCUUAGUUUUCACAGAAACUACAGCUCUUCGCACUCACGUCAUCAGUUUAUAUACUCAUGAUAGCAAGUUCAACUGGCAUAAUCAGUUUGGUAACUAUUAAUUUCUUAGAGCCGAUGUAACAAAUUAUUGCUAAUUGGGUGACUUAACAGAAAUUUCUCUUCUCACCAUUCUUGAUUUUGGACGUCCAAAAUCAAGGUAUCAGCAGGGCCAUGCUCCCUCUGAAGGCUCUAGGGAAGACUGUUCAAUCCUUUCUUGACUCUCCCAGCCUCUGGUGGCCCAGGUGUCCCUUAGCUUGUAGCAGCAAACUUCGUCUUCGUCUCUUCCUCUGUCUUCACAUGGCCUUCUCUGUGUGUCUGUGCUCUUUCUCUCAUAAGAAUACUCUCACUUAGGACCCACCCACGUACAGUAUGAUCUUGUCUCAAUAUUUAACUUUCGUUACAUCUGCAAAGACGCCAUUUCCAAGUAAGAUCACCUUCUGAGCUUCUAAGCAGAUGUGAAUUGUCGAAGAAUACUCUUCAGCCCCUAUAGUAACAAACUCUACGCGACUUGGUAAACACAGAUUGCAGCAAGUGGAAAUCAAAAUGAAGGGUGCACCAGAUAGACGCCUACUAACUGAAAGCCUGCAGCCUGCCCUAGGCACCUCCUUUUCUGAGGAGAUGAAGACCAUCAGUUUAUCCCGUGAAUUGGUUACAUGGAGAUUACUUAAAACUGCUUCUAUUUUUUCUCCUUCAAACUUGUAUAAAUGUGUCUGUUACUGUGUAUAUAUAAAAAUUUUACAUGAGCACUUA